GUUUUCUCAGGAAACCUGUGAAGGAAGGGCAGGAACUCUACAUUUAAUGUCUUUGACUCCUGGGGCAACCUGGUCCAGGGGAUUACAGUUAAGAGAAUAUAUAACUCUCAGAAGAGACUUUGAACUUUGGAUUUUUAAACAAGUUUGAGACUGUUAUGACUUUAGGGACUUUUGAAGUUGAAGAACUGGCACUAUUAGGAGGUAUGGCCUUGCUGGAAUAGAUGUGGCCUUGGUGGAGGAAGUGAGUCACUGUGGAAGUGGGCUUAGAGAUCUGUGUGUCUCAGUGUCCUGCUGCUGCGUGUGGAUCAAGAUAUAGAAGAAGUCUAUGCUACUUCUCCAUCACCCUGUCUGCUUGUAUACCAGCAUGCUUCUUGCCAUGAUGAUAAUGGACUAAACCUAUGAACUAUAAGACAGUUCCAAUGAAAUGUUUUCCUUUAUGAGAGUUGAAAUGGUUGUGGUAUCUCACAGCAAUAAAAUCCUAACAAAGACACCUGUGGACCUGGAAUAUCUCAGUUUAUGUACCCCCCUAGCAGUCACCUGACUACUGCACACAUCUUUCCUCCAAGGAGCUCUAAAACCCCUGUUAUCUAUCCUUCAGUCUGGUCUCUGGCAACUCUGGGAUCUCCAGAAAUGUGAGUAUUCACCAAAGAAGACUUCUCAGGCAGAGAUUUAAGCAAAUACAAUGUCUUUAUUAGCUAGCCUCGAACUACACUGGGUGUUCUGGAUCCCCUUGUAGCCCUGUGCCUUUUUCAGGAUGAGCUUUUAAGCACAAAAACCAUGUUUUAUGUUUACAUACUUCAGUUAACAAGAACAGUUAGACUGAAACGGAACUGCAGGAAGUAAAAAGCAAGAUUCAUACAUUUAGAGACUUUCCUAUAACUAUGGACUUUGAUGAAUUAGGCCUUUGUUUUUAUUUUUGGCAUGUGGUGCUGUUUAUGUGCUGAGUUUUACAUCCUGAAUGGCACUUCCAUCAUGAAGUCAGUUGUGUUAAGGUCUGGGUCCCUGUUACAGUGCUGAUAUAAAGGUGUAUUCUUUUGUGUUUGGGUGAAAUAUUCUAUAAAUAUCACUUAGAUCCAUUUGGUUUAUAAUGUCUGGUAGCUUCGCUGGUUCUUUGUUUAGCUUUUUUCUGGAUGGCCUGUGCAUGAGUGAGAGUGAGGUACUGACAUCUCCCACUAUUAGUGUGUGAGUCAAUAUUUGAUUUAAG